UACGAAGGGGGCUAGCGUUGCUCGGAAUUACUGGGCGUAAAGGGCGCGUAGGCGGACAACUUAGUCAGAGGUGAAAGCCCAGGGCUCAACCUGGGAAUGGCAGUGGAAACUAGGGGACUUGAAUCUGGCAGAGGGGGGUGGAAUUCCACGUGUAGCAGUGAAAUGCGUAGAGAUGUGGAGGAACACCGAUGGCGAAGGCAGCCCCCUGGGCUGAGAUUGACGCUCAGGCACGAAAGCGUGGGGAGCAAACAGG
rnacentral:rRNA from 1 species